rnacentral:rRNA from 1 species
GAUGAACGCUAGCGGCAGGCUUAAUACAUGCAAGUCGAGGGGCAGCACGGGUAGCAAUACCUGGUGGCGACCGGCAAACGGGUGCGGAACACGUACGCAACCUUCCUUUAAGUGGGGAAUAGCCCAGGGAAACUUGGAUUAAUACCCCUUAAUAUUAUUGAGUGGCAUCACCGGAUCAUUAUAGCUACGGCGUUUGAAGA